CUACAACAACAGAAAAAAGAUGGCUGCCAGGAACAGUGGGUUCGUAGUGCAGGCGCCAAGCCCCAGCAAUAACCCUGGAAGAAAAAUAGAAAAGGAAAGGAAAGGAAAAAGAAAAGAAAAGAAGAGAAAAGCAAGGAAAGAAAAGAAGAGAAAAAAGAAAAGAAAAGAAAAGAAAAGAAAAGAAAAGAAAAGAAGAGAUACACCUGUAGCACUGCUCUGCCACUUGGGAAGCUUCCUCCCUGCAGCAAGGUUCUCAUUGCCAGGAAUUCCAAAGGUCCCUGACUGGAUAAGGAGACGGAAGCUGCAAGCUGGAUGGUGGCACACUCGGUUGAGCACACACACCACCAUGCACAAGGACCUGGGUUCAAGCCCCCAGUCCCCACCUGCAGUGGGGGAACUUCACCAGUAGUGAGGCAGUGCUGCAGGUGCUCUCUCCCUCUCUAUCUACCCCUUCCAUGUCAGUAUCUCUAUCUCUAGCCAAUAAAUGGAUAAAUAAAAUAUUUAGAAAAAAUGCUGAGGAAACAACCAAAUAAUUAUACAACAUAUUUUCAUGCCUGAGGCUCUGAGAACUCAGGUUCAAUCCUCAGUACCACCAUAAACCAGUGCUGAGCACUCUCUAUAACUAUCUGUAUUUCUCACUAAAAUAUAUAAAUAAUAAAAGCGUAUGUAAACAGUUUUAAA